rnacentral:rRNA from 1 species
GACGAACGCUGGCGGCGUGCUUAACACAUGCAAGUCGAACGGUAAGGCCCUUCGGGGUACACGAGUGGCGAACGGGUGAGUAACACGUGGGUGAUCUGCCUGCACUUCGGGAUAAGCCUGGGAAACUGGGUCUAAUACCGGAUAGGACCAUGGACUUCACGGUUUGUGGUGGAAAGCUUUUGCGGUGUGGGAUGGGCCCGCGGCCUAUCAGCUUGUUGGUGGGGUAAUGGCCUACCAAGGCGACGACGGGUAGCCGGCCUGAGAGGGUGUCCGGCCACACUGGGACUGAGAUACGGCCCAGACUCCUACGGGAGGCAGCAGUGGGGAAUAUUGCACAAUGGGCGCAAGCCUGAUGCAGCGACGCCGCGUGAGGGAUGACGGCCUUCGGGUUGUAAACCUCUUUCAAUAGGGACGAAGCGCAAGUGACGGUACCUAUAGAAGAAGACACC